rfam:Stegodyphus mimosarum contig95790, whole genome shotgun sequence.
GUCUUCAUGGUGUAGUGGUCAGCACACUCGGUUCGUAUUCGAGAGUUCCGUGGUUCGAGUCCCGGAGAAGGUA